UAGCUAGUUGGUGAGGUAAAAGCCCACCAAGGCAACGAUCAGUAGCCGGCCUGAGAGGGUGAUCGGCCACAUUGGGAUUGAGACACGGCCCAGACUCCUUCGGGAGGCAGCAGUGGGGGAUAUUGCACAAUGGGGGAAACCCUGAUGCAGCAACGCCGCGUGAGUGAAGAAGUAUUUCGGUACGUAAAGCUCUAUCAGCAGGGAAGAAUAAUGACGGUACCUGACUAAGAAGCCCCGGCUAACUACGUGCCAGCAGCCGCGGUAAUACGUAGGGGGCAAGCGUUAUCUGGAUUUACUGGGUGUAAAGCGAGUGCAGGCGGUUCAAUAAGUCUGAUGUGAAAGCCUUCGGCUCAACCGGAGAAUUGCAUCAGAAACUGUUGAACUUGAGUGCAGAAGAGGAGAGUGGAACUCCAUGUGUAGCUGUGGAAUGCGUAGAUAUAUGGAAGAACACCAGUGGCGAAGGCGGCUCUCUGGUCUGCAACUGACGCUGAGGCUCGAAAGCAUGGGUAGCGAACAGGAUUAGAUACCCUGGUAGUCCAUGCCGUAAACGACCAUAAUGAGUGUAGGGGAGGUUUCCUCCCUCUCAGUGCUGCAGCUAACGCAUUAAGCACUCCGCCUGGGGAGUACGACCGCAAGGUUGAAACUCAAAGGAAUUGACGGGGGGCCCGCCCAAGCGGUGGAAGCAAUGUGGUUUAAUUCGAAGCAACGCGAAGAACCUUACCAGGUCUUGACAUCCAGUGCAAACCUAAGAGAUUAGGUGUUCCCUUCGGGGACGCUGAGACAGGUGGUGCAUGGCUGUCGUCAGCUCGUGUCGUGAGAUGUUGGGUUAAGUCCCGCAACGAGCGCAACCCUUGUCAUUAGUUGCCAUCAUUAAGUUGGGCACUCUAAUGAGACUGCCGGUGACAAACCGGAGGAAGGUGGGGAUGACGUCAAGUCAUCAUGCCCCUUAUGACCUGGGCUACACACGUGCUACAAUGGACGGUACAACGAGAAGCGAACCUGCGAAGGCAAGCGGAUCUCUUAAAGCUGUUCUCAGUUCGGACUGUAGGCUGCAACUCGCCUACACGAAGCUGGAAUCGCUAGUAAUCGCGGAUCAGCACGCCGCGGUGAAUACGUUCCCGGGCCUUGCACACACCGCCCGUCA
rnacentral:rRNA from 1 species